UGAGAUCUGCAGUAAUCUGUAGCAAACCUUCUCCUGCUAGUCUCCCCACAUUGCCCUAAACUCCCUGCAGAUUCCCUCACUCACUGAUGCACUUGGGGCAGUUCACAGGAGCUAACCAACUAAAUGAACCAUGUGUCUUUGGGAAGUGGGAGAAAGCAUGAUAGUGGGCACGGAGUUCCAAAGCACAAAGAACUCUUCCCCGUCAAAAAUAUGCUGACAGUGGAAAUCAACCCUUAUUGUGGUUCAAUAUCGAAUGGGCAGCGGAUAUUUGAGAAGGUGUCACCUAAAGACAGUUCCUAUGGACACAAUCUGUUUCCAAAUUGAAAUAUUGCGCGUGGACUAUACUGGCCAGUGCUGGAAUUAGUGAUUUGUUUAUUGGAUGUCCCAAACAUGUUUUAAAAAGAACAUUAAGGGAAGUGUGGGGUAGAGACAGCUGCUGUGGUAAAGCUCACCUGGAGCACCAACAACUCAGCUUUGUGAUAGAAACAUUAAGCUGUCUGUGCUAAAGACUCCCAUGCAUUUCAAUACAGGGAGGUAUCGGGGAGAAUUCUUGUGUACAC